UUGUCAAAUUAACGCCUUAUUGUUAUCAAAUGCAUUAUUUAACUAGUAUUGACAAAGUUUUCCAACUCAGAAACGCUCUCCGUAACAUUUCUGACCAUUCUAAAAAAUGCAUUUUCUUAUUUGACUGGGUUAGUCAAAUAAGAUUUAUAUUUUGGCGGGAAGCCCUUCGAUUAUUUCCGUAAAUGUUCGGAUCUGAGUCACGUGAUAUGAUUUACCAAACCAAAAUAAUGGCGGACAAUACGAAAGGUGUGUCACGUAUACGAUAAAUAAAUUUUGAGAUUGGAAAAGGAAAAAGCGAAAAGUGGAAAGAAACUGUGAUUUAAUUCAAUCAAGGAUAUACUCCGGUAGUGAUUCAAAGCGACGAAAAGUUCUAAAAAGGGUAAUUAAAACCAAAAGCGACCGUGAAGUUGUUAUCUGAUUGACACUGACAGCUGAGGUGAUCAUCGUUUUUGUUUGCAUUUAAUUUUUUCUUGGUCUUAGAUCUACUUAUAGAAAAAUUUCACCUACGAAUAUAUAAACACAGAUAUUGUGUUAUAGUUUUUAGGAUGGUUUUGACUUAUGAUAAAGAAAUUAAGCUUGCAGAUCCACGUCCGUGUAUCAAGUUUUCGUUCACUGUAAUUUUCGUACCAAUAAAUUGUUAUUGUUAACAGGUUAAAUAAAAGAUCGGCUGAGCCUAAUCGUUUACAAUUUUAUGGCGUAUGUUCAUUGUAACCAUUGUAAUAUUGUUUAAGAUGGCCAAUCACUAUCUUUUAACAAUCAUUUAAGACACAACAAAAUUAUAUUUUGAAUAACUUUUAUUUUCCAAUCACAUUAUUGUUUUUUACUGUAAGCUGUACUGUAUAGUAACUACAAUGCUGUGAAAUAGAUUAGCCACAUGUGUCUCAAAAAGGGUUAGAACUAUUGACUAGCAGAACAGGCAUUUCUUCAAAGCAUGUUCAACUAUCAAGGGUAGUCCUAUAAAUGUGACGUCCUUUGAUUUUGAGAUAUUUUUGCUUUUGGGCAACCUUGACCGACAUUUAAGCAAUAACAAGCCCGUAAGUCUGAUAUAUUGAUCUACUAUCCAGGGUUGUCGAAUCUUCAUAGAAAUAAAGUAGAAAAAAUAAAAUGUUGUCUAGAAAAUCGCACAAAAAUCAAUAAUUUUGUCUCAUUUGAAUCAUUUUUGCAGUAAAAUUUCAGCAUUUCACAAUUUGAAAAAUAAUCAUGGACAAUAACCAUAAUUGUGCUGGAAACGUUAGAUAAUUCUUAUUGACAACCCUUCUUCCUUAUAAGCAGUGCAGCAAUUCAUGUAUUGUAAUUGGUUUGAAUAGUCAAGAUUUAAGGCCAUGGUACUAGUAUGCUAUAUUUUCAAUUACAGAAAUAAAUCAAUUUCAUAGUCAUCAUGUGUUGCAAUACCACUACCAGGGACAUCAAAGAUGACCUGGACUUCAGUGCAUAUGCAGAGGAGAGUAGCACUAAAGAAAGCCAAUAAAAUCCUUUUGGAGUUGAAUUGAGACACAACCAUUCAUUUCUGGUUUAGUUAUAAAACUGCUACAGACUAUAAACUAUUCAUGAUGAUGGAAUACACCAAUGCCUAGUACAAUCAUGGCCCAUUAGAAACCAGAAUAAACCAUGGCUGCAAAGGAAAUAAGAUGCACAUAGUCUGAAAGUUCUGGCUGUUGUUCUGAAUAAGAUGACAUAAUAUCUCAACUGCAGAAGUACAGCUGGCAUGUAGGGGUUUCAACAGCACAUCUUGAUGUAUUGUACCAAAAGAUUUGCUUACACACCACCUGUUUAUAGGACGCACAAUCUUCUUGCAGCCAUAGAUUAUAAUAUACAUGCAAAUAGACCAUACAUCACCAACAAGGGGGAUCUGUUAGACUUCAGCAAGUCUGGGUGAAUUAAAGAAGAAGAAAAAGUAUCAUUAUACCAUUUUUCAUGAUGCUAUAACUCUGAGAAUUAGUGACAUGGAGCGGAUAUAUAAAAUAGAAAGUUAGAGGAAGAUGACCCCCACAGACUUUCAAAAUAUUUGGCCCAAGUUAGCCCGAAGCCUACCCGAGCCAUUCAUGAGGAACAUAAAUCAAGAUAUGAUUGACUUUUUAUGGAAAAGAAUGAUACAUAGUGUGUUACACUGAUUGCCCAUUUAUUCAAACAUAUUUAAGCUGACAUUGAACACCUGGUAUUCAUGAUAGUUUUAUGAAAUAUCUUUUUAGAUAUGGCACUGUAUCUAUCUUGUUUCGAAAAAAAUUCUCUUGAUUCAUUUGUCAUGACUCAAGGUCUGUUUUUAAUAUUUUGUCAGAAAAAUGACUGCUUUUUAUACAAGUGCAAAAUAUUAUCCAAUCUAUUAAACUAUAAGUGCUGCUAUGAGCUUUAAUGUAGUAACGAAGUUAAAAGUAUUAUUCAAUUAUAUCUUUUGAUAUUCAUGUACUAUGUCAUUCACUUUAGCUCAGCUUUUCUUUUUUUUUUUUGAAAAAAGAAAUAGAGGUUGCUGCCGUUGCCUUCUGCAAACUUAAACCUUGUUCAUAACUUUUAAAGUUCUUGGUGUAUUGUCUAACCUUUGCCUUCAUUCAUAAUUGACCUUGACCUUCAAGGUUAAAUGUCUAAAUUUUGGCUUUGCUUGCUAUUUGCUAUUAGUGGCUUUAACUUUAUGCCCUUUGUUAAUUUUCAUAUUUCAUUUUUGUCUUGGCCAUUUCUCCUGAACUAUAUUGUUCACAAGGCAACACAUCCGACUCGCGAAGAUCUAGUUGGUAUUAGUCCAUGAAUUGUUUGUAGUCCAAUCUAGUUUAUUAGACCAAUGACAUAGGGGCAUUUUAUAUAAAAUCCUUGUUCAAUCAAAAAAGGCAAGCCUUAAAAUUAUCUUUGUAUUUACUCCCUCAUCCCAUUCCAGUUCAGAUAGGUUAGGUGGGCUGAUAAAAUAUUUAUUUUUGUGCCCCCACUUUAGUGGCGGGCAUUUAGAUUUACCCUUGUGUGUCCGUCCGUAUUUCACAUCAUGAAACUUUACUGUAAUGUUGAUCAGCAAGUGUAGUUGUUCACCUUGGUGUUUUCAUCUGGAUAUUUUUAGUAUUUUCAGAGUUACUGCCAUUGAAUUUUUGCAAUUUUCAACUUGUGUUGCAUGUUACUCAAGAAGUAUUUGACCUAGAGCAAUGAAACUUUACAGGAAUGUUGAACAUUAUGUGUAGUUGUGCACCUGGGUAUUUUCGUCUGGAUUUAGUAUUUUGAGAGUUAUGGCCCUUGACUUAGUAAAAUUUUGCAAUUUUCAACUUGUGUCGCAUGUAACUCAAAAAGUAUUUGACUUAGAGUAAUGAAACUUUACAGGAAUGUUGAUCAGCAUGUGUAGUUGUGCAUCUGGGUAUUUUCGUCUGGAAUUAAUUAGGAUUUUUAGAGUUAUUGCCCUGACUUGGUAAAAUUUUGCAGUUUUCAACUUGUGUCACAUGUAACUCAAAAAGGAUUUGACAUAGAGUCAUUAAACCUUACGGGAAGGUUGCUCAGCAUAUUUAGUUUGGCACCUGGGGUUUGGCUUGUGGAUUUAUCCAGUAUUUGUAGAGUUAUUUCCCUUGACUUAGUAAAAAACAUUUCAUUAUGUUGUUAUUUGUUCCUUGAGUGCUUGAGUGAGAAUCAACCAACUUUACAGGAAUAAUGAUCAACAUCACUGUGAAGCUAUGAACCUGUGACUUUCAUGUGGAUUUUUUUCAGUUUUGUUAGAGUUAUUGCUCUUGACUUACAGUAGUAUAAAUUUACAAUUUUCAACUUGUUCAUGCAUAGCUCAAAAAGUAUUUAUGUUUUCUUUCAUUUUAUUCAGCCAAACAUAAAUAAUUUAUCAUUUAACUCCAUAAUUAAUAUCCUACAGGGAUAAAAUAUAAAUAAGAAAGACAAUAUAGGAGUGGCUACUACAGGUUCACUUUAAUUUAUCGAAUAAUUUACAAUUUUCAACUUGUUCAUGCAUAGCUCAGUAAGUAUUUCACUUGUAGGCCUGAAUGUUUAAAAGAAUGUUGGUCAGCAUAUGUACU